AUGCACAGAAAAAUACAGGCAGGUGUCCGAGGGCUCUUCUGGGCUGAAAAACUGGGGGGAUUCUGUGUGGUCCCCCCGAUCUGUGCUGAAGUUUUUAAACCCAUUGCAAUGCUGCUUUCAGCCACCAGAUGUGCGCAGUUGAGCCGCGUUGGCUCCCAGCCUGGAAGUGAGCCGUGCACAAAGAAGCUUCUCAGGAAGAUGAUAAACAUCCUAAGAGCCACUGUGGCUUCUGGAGACACUUACAUCAGUGUCUUUUCCUUUAAAUAUCCUGAGCUGAAGCGCCCUUUGCUUGUGAUCUCGUGCAUUGCCCACACAGCCGAAAAUAGGGAGAAAGCUGUGUGGAACUGUCGAGAAGGAGCAGAGGAAGCGUGGAAGAGAAGAGGAUACUGCGUGCAAAGCUGGCAAAGAGGAGGGGAGGAGUGCAGGAGGAGAGCAGCUGGGGGAGGUGAAUGCAGCUAUAGGAUGCAGUUGGGUGUCUGAGACAGCAGAAGAGUUGGGCUGAAUGGAAAGCUAUGCCAGUGACGUGCAGAAAGUAAUAAGAGUGGUGUUGGAUUACUGGGGAUUGGGGAUACCACGGGUAUGGCUCUGCUUUGCUGGCAGGAUGGAUCCCAAGAGCAGCAACUGCCUGCAGAGCUCUGAGGUGCUGGGCAUCACUGUAUGCCCACCUCCAUCCACGUGCUCUGAUAGCACUGGCCAAACCUGAGGGCCUUCUGAAGUAGCCCCUCACCUAAAUAAAGUGCAGCAAUUCAGAUGAUGCA
rnacentral:lncRNA from 1 species